AGCUGACGUCAGAUUAAAUUAACUGUUUUUUAACAGCGCUUCCUUCAAUACUCAAUUCGCCUUGGAAUGAGAGAAGGCGUUAAAUCUACUCUUUCCCAUAAUCCAAGGCGUCAUGCCUUUAGACACCCACUAUAUAGUUUGCAGUCACACUGUACUUUAACGAGGUCUCCCGGAUACCUGUCCACCUUCGGCAUUAAUGGAGGACUUGCUACGAAAAGAGCUUAUCGAAGUAAGGGGCUAACGAAACAGAUUCAUGAUGAAUAACGAAAACAAAAAAGCCCCAAACACCAGCACGGGAAAAGGCGUCGCAUCUGGGCACAGCUUAGAUCCAACUUUUUUUUUCUGCGUCUAUACAAGAUGGCUGAUGAACUUAUUUUUAACCAUGAAUCCUUGGUAGCAAGAAGCAUGGUUAAUUCUGAAGCCUCUCAGGAAGUGGCGGUAACGGCCGCAGUGAUGAUGACAACAUACUGUGCAUAUAAGUACGGAGUUGGAAGGGAGAACCAUCUGGCUAGGGUCCUAAUAUAUGGCAUAUAAUAGCCAAGGUACUCAGCUCAUAAGACUGCUAGGCGUGAUGGAGUAAGACAAUCGCAGAAGCAUCGAUGUUAUGAUCGACGCUGACUUUAAUUUUUACAGUAUGGUUUCGAUAUUCGUUCAUCUGAUAUUCGUUCUCUUCUCAUGCGUAGUCAUAUUGCCAGAUCAAACAAUAGGCAUGACAGUUGGUUGAUAGGAGACUAAGGUUUUCCUCUCGCGCAAUGGUUAUUAACAGCAAUUGCUAAUCCAAAUCAGAGGUCGGCAAAAUUGACUUUGCCAGUGUGUUGGUGAGCACAG